GACGAACGCUGGCGGCGCGCCUAACACAUGCAAGUCGAACGGGGAUACAGAGGAGCUUGCUUUUCUGUAUUCUAGUGGCGAACGGGUGAGUAACACGUGAGUAAUCUGCCUUACAGAGGGGGAUAACGUUUGGAAACGAACGCUAAUACCGCAUAACAUUAUGGUAUCGCAUGGUAUUGUAAUCAAAGGAGAAAUCCGCUGGAAGAUGAGCUCGCGCCCGAUUAGAUAGUUGGCGGGGUAAAGGCCCACCAAGUCGACGAUCGGUAGCCGGACUGAGAGGUUGAACGGCCACAUUGGGACUGAGACACGGCCCAGACUCCUACGGGAGGCAGCAGUGGGGGAUAUUGCACAAUGGGGGAAACCCUGAUGCAGCGACGCCGCGUGAGGGAAGAAGGUUUUCGGAUUGUAAACCUCUGUCUUUGGGGAAGAGCAGAAGACGGUACCCAAGGAGGAAGCCACGGCUAACUACGUGCCAGCAGCCGCCGUAAC
rnacentral:rRNA from 1 species